GACGAACGCUGGCGGCGUGCUUAACACAUGCAAGUCGAACGGAAAGGCCCUGCUUUUGUGGGGUGCUCGAGUGGCGAACGGGUGAGUAACAAGUGAGUAACCUGCCCUUGACUUUGGGAUAACUUCAGGAAACUGGGGCUAAUACCGGAUAGGAGCUGCUGCUGCAUGGUGGGGGUUGGAAAGUUUCGGCGGUUGGGGAUGGACUCGCGGCUUAUCAGCUUGUUGGUGGGGUAGUGACUUACCAAGGCUUUGACGGGUAGCCGGCCUGAGAGGGUGACCGGCCACAUUGGGACUGAGAUACGGCCCAGACUCCUACGGGAGGCAGCAGUGGGGAAUAUUGCACAAUGGGCGGAAGCCUGAUGCAGCAACGCCGCGUGCGGGAUGACGGCCUUCGGGUUGUAAACCGCUUUCGCCUGUGACGAAGCGUGAGUGACGGUAAUGGGUAAAGAAGCACCGGCUAACUACGUG
rnacentral:rRNA from 1 species